rnacentral:rRNA from 1 species
CAGAGGUCCCAAGCGUUACUGAGAAUCACUGGGUUUAAAGGGUGCGUAGGUGGUCCGUUAAGUUCGUUGUGAAAUCCCUGGGCUCAACCCAGGAACUGCUUCGAAUACUGGCGGACUUGAGGCCGGUAGGGGUCACUGGAACUGACGGUGGAGCGGUGAAAUGCGUAGAUAUCGUCAGGAACGCCGGUGGUGAAGACGGGUGACUUGGCCGGUUCUGACACUGAGGCACGAAAGCGUGGGGAGCGAACGGGAUUAGAUACCCCGGUAGUCCACGCCCUAAACGAUGUCAACUGGUUGUUGGGUCUUUACUGACUCAGUAACGAAGCUAACGCGUGAAGUUGACCGCCUGGGGAGUACGGCCGCAAGGUUG